rnacentral:sRNA from 1 species
AACGGACAUCUCGAGUAGGUCCCCAGCGCCUCGGCGUUGCGCGUGACUGAAAGAGUCCGAAGUCGCACGCCUCGACAUCCAAUUCCCGAAUUCAGUUUUCUGUAGAGACGCCGACCUCCGGGUUCGAGCGUCGCUGCUGUUUGACAACGGAAGUUGUGGUAGAUCGCGGAUUUGAGAAUUCUCAUUGAGAGACUUUUCUAUUUCGUCUUGGACGAUAGAACUAGAAUUGUCACUCGUUGAAAUGAUCGAAAAGAUCGCGCGUGCUCUGCUUGACACAGCAUGUUGUAGUCAAGCGAGCGAAGGCAUGUGGGGGAUGCCUGGGCACACGGAGGCGACGAAGGCCGUGGUAAGCUGCGAUAAGCUCGGGGGAGCGGCACACACGCACUGAUCCCGAGAUGGC